rnacentral:rRNA from 1 species
GAUGAACGCUGGCGGCGUGCCUAAUACAUGCAAGUCGAGCGAACAGACGAGGAGCUUGCUCCUCUGACGUUAGCGGCGGACGGGUGAGUAACACGUGGAUAACUUACCUAUAAGACUGGGAUAACUUCGGGAAACCGGAGCUAAUACCGGAUAAUAUAUUGAACCGCAUGGUUCAAUAGUGAAAGACGGUUUUGCUGUCACUUAUAGAUGGAUCCGCGCCGCAUUAGCUAGUUGGUAAGGUAACGGCUUACCAAGGCAACGAUGCGUAGCCGACCUGAGAGGGUGAUCGGCCACACUGGAACUGAGACACGGUCCAGACUCCUACGGGAGGCAGCAGUAGGGAAUCUUCCGCAAAGGGCGAAAGCCUGACGGAGCAACGCCGCGUGAGUGAUGAAGGUCUUCGGAUCGUAAAACUCUGUUAUUAGGGAAGAACAAAUGUGUAAGUAACUAUGCACGUCUUGACGGUACCUAAUCAGAAAGCCACGGCUAACUACGUG